AUGUUUUUGAUAUUUUUAGAGCUCAGAGUGGAUUUUGUCUUUUUUGGGCUUUCCCUUUCUUUAAUUGAGCUAGACCUCCUUGGAUUUACUGAAGUGGGUUUUGACUUUUUAGGACUAGCACUUUUUUCCGUUGCUGUAGACUCCCUGCGACUCACCGAAGUGGAUUUUCUUGGUGUCAGGCGUACACUAUGUGUACCUGAACUAGACCUCCUGGGAGUCACAGCAGCCGAUUUCCUAGUAGCCUUAAAUGUCGUAGAACUGAUUAAAGACGGUUCAGCAACAGUCUUCUUGGUUCCAAUUCCUGCUUCGCAGGCUCCAGAUCUCCUUAGAUUAACAGGAGUUAAUCUAAUUUUUUUGGGAAUUGUAUCAACGGCUCCUGAGUCCUUUGGGCAGAUGGGAAAAGGGUCUCUAGUUCCGUCUUUACUUUUUGGAUUUCCAUUCUCAAUGACACACCUUUUAGGAGACACAGUGCAGGUCUUCGUUGCUGUGCAUGGUUCUGAAUUAGUUUUAGUUCUUCUAGUUUGCAGGCAAGUUUUGAGAUGACUUUGAAGUCGGGCCACAAGGGAUUUUUUCUGUAAUUCCUUCUUUUUACUGGGGCUCGUUUCUGCAGCUGCGGCUUUUACUGAGUCAUUAGAGGAAACCUAUAAAAAGAAGCAUAAUGACAAAUUAACCUUGAAUAUCUAUACAAAACGAAUGAGUUUAUGUUUAACAAAGUAAAGACCCAAAAGCCUUAUAUUGCUUUUCACCUAAGAAAUGUUUACCUUUUUGGGGUCUUCCGGUGCAGGUGUCACUGCCAGCUGUGUCAGGAACUGGGCUUUAGUCAUCUUCAAAUGAAGGUCAGAUAUAUUCUUGCUGGUGAUGGGGGUCAGAUGCACAACAGCAACAGAUCCCUUCUCAGCCAUGCGUGGGCCGUUAGAUGAUGCCCUGUCUUGCAUUGCAAUGCUAAUCAUCUCCCAAUUAGAAUAAGAAGCCGAUUCAACUGCUGUGCAAUUUUCAGCAGACUGUUCAGUCUUGAUUGUUGUUGAUAGCCUGCUGUCAGCUGGAUCUUCAUCCAAAAAGGUGCAGUUUUCAAAGGAUAAUGAUGCAGUUUCUUGAAUUUCAUCUGGCUCUUUGGACAUCUGCGAGGUAUUUGCAAUUAUAGCAACAGAUGUUUCUUUCAAAUUGGUACAAUCGUCGGCGGAUAAACCAUGCGUCUGAGAUGGUGGCGGGGAAUGUUCCCCUUGUGUCUUUUCUUUCAAAACGGAUUGACUUCCACUAGAUCCAUCGAUACGAAGUCUUGAAACCAAGACUGCUUCGUUGGCCGAUAUGGGAAAUGGCAGUCUCGUCAGUCUGACCACUGCAGUGAGGUUGUUUUCAACAGACACUGGGGUUGGCUUUAGCUUAUCGGACAGGUUUGAACUGGAACAGGUCUGUGUAACUGCAUUUACCAGUUCAGAAACCGGGGCAGUUUGUUUUGGAAUUUCUAAGUUGCGCAAAGUUUGAUACUUUUUCUUAGACGAUAUUGCAGAUACUUUAUCUAAAAUAGUUUGAGUGUCCACAAAAAUGCUUAUGUCCUUGGAUGAAGGAAUGAACUGCGGCGAGGAAACCAUAAAAGCGUCAGAUUUCGUGGAAUCUUGCUUGGAUGUCUGAACAAUUGUCUUUGACACCGGUCUCUGAAGUCCAAUUCUUAUUUUUGGACGUGCUGUAGUCCCUGACUGCAGGUCAGUCGAGGUGGUGGUUGACUGUGAAAGGACAGGAGGGAAUAAUUUCCUGGACGUAAUUUGUGUAGAUUUCUGAGGAUCGGAGGAAAUUGAGGAGGUUUCUGCUGUAAAGCGCGGCAGUGCAGCACUUUUCUGUGCAGCAACAACUGAAACAACAGAAGGAAGCUGGGGUGGCAACAGUGCCUCUAUUUUAUGGCAAAUUAAUGAGGAUACUGAUCCUGGCUGGGAAACUAUUUUAUAAGACACCGCCUGAUCAUGAUUGCUGGGUACCAAAAAUGUUACCGAAGGGCAGGGAAGGUGCUGCUGCGGUGACGGUACACUUCUUUUUACCGCAGUAGUUGAUGGCGUGGUUGUAUUGGAUGGAGUAACUGUGUGCGAUUCUUUUGCAGUUACCACGUUGAUGUGGCAUUGAGCUUCAUUAGCAUGUGAUGCCACAGGAGCGAUACCAAUUUUAUUUUUUACCAAUUGGGUUUUCUCUGCCGGAAUCUCGUCCACGGUUUCUAAAGCACACGCACAGAGUGCAAACUGGGUUUGAGGUGGUGCUGCCGUUUGUAUUAUGGUGGUCAAUGUGUCUUUUUCUGUUGACUGAUUCAUGGCUUCAACCAAGAGUAUUGCAUCCUGAAGGGUAACAGAGGUGCAGCGUUCCGGGGGCUGAAUAUUUGAAAGGUUUAAGGUUUCAUUUGCAGAUAGAACUUCAUUGAAUGGGGGCUUAAUUGCCCCUUCUUCACUUGCCAUGGAAUUAUGUUGAGAUUCAGAUGGUUUCUCUUUUUCAGAGAAACAUAUUUUACUUAAAGUUGUUUCUGAAACAGUGAGCGAAUUUCCAAUUUCUUUUACUGGAUGCUGCAUAAGUUUAGCUUUCUUGGAUGGUCGUCCUCUUCUGUGUUGUGCCCACUCAAGUUUGAGACUACCCCCAAUCUGUGCCACACCACUUUUUAAUUGUUCACAUGUUUCUCCUGUAUUGAGCGACGUAGGCAGUGACAGUUGUUCUUCUGUAGAUUUCCCACCUACACAAUGUUGCUGAGAAACACCAGCCGGUUCACCUACUGACACUUUGCCCUCUCUGUCACUUUGUUGGGAUUUCCCAGAUGGUUGCUCUUUUUCGAGUGUUGCAACCUCUGACUGCUGAUGUGCAACUACCAAUGGAUGUUUUUCAGUUGUUAUGAGUCGAUCCAUCUGUAUGAACUCAGAAUCUUCUAAAUUGUCUUUUGUUUCAGCGAAUGAAAGGACUAGUGAAUUCCCCAAUUCAGGCGAUUGCUUCUGGGCUCCUUGUAGAUCUCUCUCCCUUCCUAAAUAGGGUUCCAGGAUGCCUUCAUUCUCAGCUGCAAAAACAGAGGCUUGUGGUGAACCUGGGCACGGCAGUUAGAGAAAAGUCAGAUGAAUGAAAGGGUGAUAAUAUUGAGUAACAAUUUCUCAAAUUCUGAGAAACUUUGUUAAAAUAGGUCUUUAACACCUCACCUGAUUUGUCACUCAAGUCUAGCCCACUGACCGGGGCCUCAGUUUCCUCCUGCUUCAGGACCAACUGAGAAGAAUCAUAAGACUCCUGCAAGGAUGGAAAAAAAUUAUAAUUUCCCAUAGACAAUAGGGAAAUAUGUUUGAUUGCUUACACACACCCACACACCUGUUUGACAAAUAUAAAGGCCAUUUGAGUCGUUCCCACUCCAUAGGUGUGGUCCUGCAAACUGUACUCCAUCUUCUCGUAGGUGCAUUGUUGCUCAUGGUUUUGCCGUGAUGAAGGCCUCAGUGGUUGACAUUGCUCAACCAGCAUUGUGCGAACCGGUAGAAGGUCUGUAAAGAAGCACACAAAAACUAGUGACAUACAGAUUACCUACAAACAAGAUAAAAACAUGCAUUCACCACUUUAUUUUAAAAAAUGAAGUGAGAUGGUACGUACGAUAGAGGGGUGUAUUGUUUCUCCUUACAAAUACUGAUUUGAUUUGACUCUCACCGUUGGAUUAAAAAGGAUUUGUUCAGCACUGACCAAUACCUCAUUGUUGGAUAUGGGAUUCUAAUGUUAAAUACUUUAUCUGACCAAUAGCAUACCCAUAACCGAUUACUAACCGCUAUAAUAUGGUUAGUAAAAAUCCAGCCUUCUGAUGGGUUGAGAGAGAGUCACAGGGUGUACUUUAUUAGAGCAAUAAGGUCCGAGGGGCUGUACUUUAUCAUCCAAUAACGUAACAGUUCGGGGGUGUUUUCAUUCAGCAUUGCAAUACACCACAGGAAGUGCUGGGGGCGAUCGCUUCUAUUGUCUACAUCAGGGGUCCCCAAACUACGGCCCGCGGGCCGCAUACGGCCCGCCUCCACAUUUGACCCGGCCCCCUGAACAAUACAGAGACGGGAAAAAGGCUACUGGUUAUGGUAAAAUGGUUGUGUCAUACAAGUAAUUACGACUGCUCGACGGAUCGCGGUCCCUUUAAAUGUUCUGUUGUUGUUGAUGAC
ensembl:lncRNA